rnacentral:lncRNA from 1 species
UUUUUUUUUUUUGUUGUUUUUUUGGGUUUUUUUUUUUUUUUUUGUUUUUUUUUUUUUUUUUUUUUGAGAUGGGAUCAUGAUGUAUCCAAGCUGGUCUCAAACUUGUGCAGUCCUGCCUCAGCCUUCUGAAGAUUGGCAUUGCAGAUGUGCACCACCUUGUCUGGCUUUUCUGCUUUUCUGAUAAUGGUUUCUUUUUAUUUCCUACAGAUUAUGUCCCUUAUGUCAAUGCUGUUGAUUCAAGGUGGAGUUCAUAUGGCAAUGAGGCCACAUCAUCAGCACACUAUAUUGAACGGGACAGAUUCAUUGUUACUGAUUUAUCUGGUCAUAGAAAGCAUUCCAGUACUGGAGACCUUUUGAGCAUUGAACUUCAGCAGGCCAAGAGUAACUCAUUACUUCUUCAGAGGGAAGCUAAUGCUCUGGCCAUGCAGCAGAAGUGGAAUUCCCUGGAUGAAGGCCGACACCUUACUUUAAAUCUUCUAAGCAAGGAAAUUGAACUAAGAAAUGGAGAGAGUGAUUAUACAGAAGACACAGUAGAUACGAAGCCCGAUAGAGAUAUUGAGUUAGAGCUUUCAGCACUCGAUACUGAUGAACCUGAUGGACAAAGUGAACAAAUUGAAGAAAUCCUGGACCUACAACUUGAUAUCAGUUCUCAAAGUGAUCAGUUGCUGAAUGGAACAGCAAUGGAAAAUGGCCAUCCAGGUCAACAUCACCAGAAAGACACAGUAAAGCAGAAGAGACAGAGCUUAGGUGAAGACCAUGUGAUUCUGUUAUGUAAACCAGUCUGUCUAUUUCAUGGAUAUUUAAUAGUGAGAUCUUCCAUGUUGAAGGGAAAGAACCCUCCGUGCAACAGAACUACACGAACAUCUUCAGCACUUUCUGAGGGUGAUUAUAUACUACAUAAAUUGAUCUUGUGUAUUUAA